ACCUUUGUGGUGUAACGGUUAGAACACUCGGCGCGUAUUCAAGAGGUCCAGGUUCAAGUCCCGGCAAGGGCA
rnacentral:tRNA from 1 species